rnacentral:rRNA from 1 species
UAACACGUGGAUAACCUGCCUUAUACUGGGGGAUAACAGCCAGAAAUGGCUGCUAAUACCGCAUAAGCGCACGGCGCCGCAUGGCGCAGUGUGAAAAACUCCGGUGGUAUAAGAUGGAUCCGCGCCUGAUUAGCUAGUUGGCGGGGCAGCGGCCCACCAAGGCGACGAUCAGUAGCCGGCCUGAGAGGGCGACCGGCCACAUUGGGACUGAGACACGGCCCAAACUCCUACGGAAGGCAGCAG